rnacentral:lncRNA from 1 species
GAAGUAUGGAAGGCAGGGGUAGCAAGGCGGAGCUGUGCCCUGUCACGGCACACAGAGAAUGCCCAUGGAUUUUCACAAAUGCUGUUAAAAUGUGAAAAGAAGGUGUUUCUUUUUUCUUCAAUCUGAGCUUCAAGCUAAUAUGGGCAUUCAGCUAAAUCCCUCCUGGGUCCUGAAACAGUAUGUGGUUUUGGAUUUCAAAGAUAAUCCCUACAACUUCUGGGAGAGGUGCAAGUAUCAACCAGUUGGAGACACAGGGAAAGGGUGAUAUAAUGCAGAAAGUGACUUGAACAAAUUUACACAGAAGGCAGUGAAGUGUGAUUCAAAUUCAAGCAGUCUAGACUGUGCCCCACACAACUCUGCAGCAUAACCUUGCAGUAUGAAAAUAAUGCCUCUCAUGCAGAGUUAUCAAAAGCAAGGAAAGUUUGAGAAGCUUUCACAGCCAAGAAGAGCCUGAAGAGACAUGAUAAACAAAUAAAAUGGUGAAUCCUGGAUGCAGCCCUGGAAAAACAACAAAGCGACCUCAGGUUAUGUCUUCUUUUAUAAGACUACCCACUGCCUCUUCUCAAGUAUAUCUGAAGUAUGGCUGGUUGGAGUAUAUCAGGACCCUCAGAGGAGAAAAGCAUAUAAAACCAGCACACCUGAACCCAGAAUACGUUAUUUGCCUUUUUCUCCAAAAAGGCUUUCCAGCAAGUGCUCUUGGUAAAACGAUCUUGACAAAGUUUUGGAGAGAAGAGUGAUGCUCCAACAUAAAACAGUCUGGAAUUAAGCAGCCGAGCUGUAUUCACAGUUGCUCUUCACAUUUGUCAGAAACGUGGAGCUGAUUAAAUAGAGCUAAUUCUCAAAGGCAAUAACAACUGGCCUGAAAGUGACCCUCUGCAUACAAAUCAGCCAACCCCGAGUCUACAGCCCCAACCGCUUCCUUUUCUAACUCUCCCACACCAAGCCAAUGUUUCCCCUGCCCUACGUCACUCAGGGUCAGGAACCAGACAGCUAGAGACCACUGCUGGAGCCCAGAGCCUGCAACAUUAUUCAAACUGGCUAAUCCUAAAUUGCUUACUCUGCCCUGCCCUUCCUUUCUGGCAGAAACCCCAAUAAAGGCUGUGGCCUAGGCCUUCUCA